GGUUUAAUUCGAAGCAACGCGAAGUAACCUUACCAGGUCUUGACAUCCGAUGCUUAUUUCUAGAGAUAGAAAGUUACUUCGGUACAUCGGUGACAGGUGGUGCAUGGUUGUCGUCAGCUCGUGUCGUGAGAUGUUGGGUUAAGUCCCGCAACGAGCGCAACCCCUAUUGUUAGUUGCCAUCAUUCAGUUGGGCACUCUAGCGAGACUGCCGGUAAUAAACCGGAGGAAGGUGGGGAUGACGUCAAAUCAUCAUGCCCCUUAUGACCUGGGCUACACACGUGCUACAAUGGUUGGUACAACGAGUUGCGAGUCGGUGACGGCGAGCUAAUCUCUUAAAGCCAAUCUCAGUUCGGAUUGUAGGCUGCAACUCGCCUACAUGAAGUCGGAAUCGCUAGUAAUCGCGGACCAGCACGCCGCGGUGAAUACGUUCCCGGGCCUU
rnacentral:rRNA from 1 species